UGAGCCCAUAUGGGCGUUUUAACAGUUGAUAUGCCAUUUUUCCCCCCCAGCUUAAAAUGAGUACGCCCACGAGAAGAAGUAAAAUAAGCUAGAACCAUUAUUAUACCCCCGACCCCAUUUGAAGGGGCAUUGCGGUUGUAAAAUGGGGGUUUUCAAGGAAUAACGGUGGCGUAGGGGAAAUUGAGACGAGCCAAACAGAGAAAAGAAUAACUCAGCCAUGACCAACAAGGCAGUCAGCCGCAGCGACAAUUUCAGUAGGAUUAUUUCUGCAGUCAGAUUCGAAAUAUCCCGCGCAAUGUGUGUCGGCGCUGUUUUUCUGUUCGGAGUAGCCGCGCCUUGGUGCUGCAGAGGACGCCGAAGUCGGAACUACGCGCGGAGGAACACCAGCCUUCGGAGCGCGCGCGCGCCCGUUGAAGCAGCUUUCAGCGACGGCCAUUCGACCAGCGACGGCACAUUCUUCUACCGUGGUUGAUGUUUCUCACUGCUUUGAACCCCCAAGACUCCACGGACUGCGGCUGCGGUCGUUUCAUUGCCAACUGUGAGGAUGAAGCAGCUUCAUGGCCGGAGAUCGGGCGCCUCCCAUCAGUUUCCCUUUUCAGCAAUAGAGGCCUUGGAGGCCUUCCUACCUGCGUUGCAUCCUGUGGCUGGACCACUCCCACGAUCUCGGCAGAAUCGUUACACAGGAAGAAGUCUGGCUGGCCCCAAGCCUGGUGCAAAAUGAAGAAAUGGCACUCCACAUCAAUUCAUGUUUACUUGUCGUCAUAACCAGUCUGUUAGCUUAAUUUUUGGUUCCUAUUGAAUUCUCAAGAAAGGUACCAACUCUGUCAUUCAAUCUGCGAACAAAUUUUUGCACUUGGGGAUGCAGCCAUGCACAAAGCCUUUGAGCUCAUUAAUAUCUUUAUUUUUUAAAGAAAGUGCAGCUGCUGCGUGGAGCAAUAGGUUGAAUAAGACGAGGGUAAAUGAAAAGAUGGCGAAAUUAGUCAUCAACAGUUGUCCAACAAAGGAAGUCUCAAGCUGGAGGCAACAUCUUUGCAAGAGAACCAAAUGGCUCCAGCCUGAGACAUUCGUUGUUCAACCUGGCAAGUCUCCUUCUCUAAAUAUUUCCUCUAGCCUGAGACCUAUAUCCAUUCCACCACCCUUGACCAACAAUACACCUAUACAUUUGGCAACCCAUGGAAAGGUAGCAAAUUCACAUUCAGGGAAAGUGAAUGUAGUGUGCACCCUGGAAGGUAGCAUGAACAGUAUUUUAUUUACUUAAUGAAAUGCAGAUUUGCUAUCCAAUUACUUUAUUUUGAUCCCCGUUUUAUAAUUGGACAGCAUGGUUCCUCAGAGAGAAUAAUAAUUCGAAGCUCACACAAUUUUGCUCCUUUAUGUCCGUUAAAUCUGUCCUGGUUGCUACACUAUCAGCCCUGUCUGCAAUUGCGUAGCAGUGUUUUGAGCAUGCAUCCAAAUUCAAAAGAAUAGUUAGGCUUCUACCUCAGAAUGUUUGCUACUGUGUUGCAGCUCGAAUUCUAUGUCUAGGUGGUCACUGUGAUGCCAUGUGCUUUUUAAAUAAGACCAAUAUGCUAUUUGAAGGGCAAAUAAAUGCAAUCUCAAAUGACCUCAGCUCGGGGAAUGACACAAUUGGAGGUCAAUAUGAUAAGGAGGAUUUGAUUUCUGAAAACAAGGCACUUAAACGGGAGAAAGCAUGACUAAUUUCGUAUAAAGAUGCUGCUUUUGGAUAUGAUCAGGGAACGUACUUGUUCGUGGCUGCAUUUGCAACAUGUUACAUUGCUGGCUUUAUAUAUUGCACUGGGUACAGUGAAAUGUUGCUGCUUGCACAAUAUUCAACUAAACAUGGUAGCCAUGCUAAUGUGUCCAUGCAGAACACAACUCAUCCACUAUUAUGGACUACAGUGGAAUCUCGAUAAACGAAAAUCGCUUCGAAACUGCCGCUUAAAUAGGACACCAUCCUGAUAAUUGGUUGGCUCUCUGCAAUGUCUCUCAGUAAAUAUAAUGCCUGGUAAAUGGAACCAAUUUCCCUGGCACCUUGAGGCUCCAUUUAAAGAGCACCCACUGUAAAAAUAUAGGGGGGAUCGUGUUUGGAACUUUCGUAAAUGUAGUCUUAAACAAAACCGCAUUUCAGUGGGAGCGAAAUGCAAAAGCACCUGUGUACUUAGACAGGUGCAUGUUAAAGAACCCCAGGUUGUCCAAAUUAAUUCGGGUUACUCGCUAUGGCAUGUGUCAUAAUCAGAAGGUGGGUUCUGGUUCAUAAAAUACAAUAAUUUUUAAUAGCUUGCUCAGAAAUCCAGCACUAAAUUAUGUAGCUUGUUUGUGUGAUGAGUCCCAAUUUCUUAAUUUAGUACUUUGACAUUUAUCAUAUUUGUGUGCUAGUCCAUGCAAAAUACCACUGAUCGGCCUCAUUAUACCAGCCACUGUUAAUUAGGAAUGGCUUAGUCAAGCAACUUAAACUUACAGCACAAACACCUAAGACGAACCACAAAAGGAAGAUACAACACACACUGGUGCUAACUUCUUUAUUUCUUCGUCGUCGAUGCAAUAUAAACCCUAGGCCACACUACCGCGCAGGCACUCAGAUUACAUUACAGAGAUCUGCCAAAUUAUCACAUACGCAAGCGUAGGAAGUCAAAUUCAGAUGGAUGCAGGGACAAAGAUAUCUUACUAAUGCAAUUAUCGCCCUGCCUUUCUUGUGGUAAGCCUCUAAGGCAAGCCGCACAUGCUCAUUCUUGCUUUUGCCAAGAAUCGACGUCCCAUCAAGUUGUGCCUCACAAUUGUUGCAAGAGUUUAUAUGCGCACCAAGGUGCGCUCCUCUAUCUACAUUUUUGUUUACUUGUUGCGCAUGUUCCCUGAGUCGCUCAUUGAUGCAAUGCCAUAUCUAGCCAAGCUAUGUCUUAGCACAUGAGAGUGAAUUGUAUAAACCAUGCCGACCGCGCACAACACGUAUGAAGCAUCAUGCUGAAUUUGGCGUCCUCCUCUGCCCUCUCCGCAGGUGCGGGAGCAUAGCUUUAAAAGCUUGUUCGGUGCAGAAAACGCCAAAGGAACACUAUGCCUGCAAGCAAUUUUCUUGAGUUGAUAGAUGACCUUAUGUGUUUAAGGGACCGCGCAGGGAACAUGCACAAAAAGUAAACAAAAAUGUAGAUAGAAGAGUGCACAUUGUUGCGCAUAUAAACUCUUGCAAAAAUUGUGAGGCACGACUUGAUGGGACGUCGAUUCUUGGCAAAAGCAUGAAUGAGCUUGCGCGGCUUGCCUUAGAGGCCUACGACAUAAAAAGGCAAAAUGAUAAUUGCAUCAGUGACAUAGCUUUGUCCCUGCACCCAUCUGAAUUUGAGUUCCUACGUUGGCAUAUGUGAUAAUUUGGGAGAUCUCUGUAAUGUAAUGUGUGUGCCUGUGCAGUUGUGUGGCCUAGGGCAUAUAUAUGCAUCGACGACGAAGAAAUAAAGGAGUUGUCAGUUAGUGCCAGCGUGUGUCGUGUCUGCCUUUUGCGGUUCGUCUUAGGUGUUUGCUCUGUAAGUUUUAAGUUCAGAAUUAUGUGCCAACUAGGCCAAAUGAAGUUUUACUCUUAGUCAAGCAAGCUCAAUAUAUAGUCUGUGCAAAAGUGUGGAGCGUCAGUACAAAGUAACAGUUCAAACACAUGGCUCUGUAGUUACAGUUCAGUAUGAAACGAGAUAAGAUUUCUUAGCAUUUCUUUCAUUUACUAUACUAAUUUCAUUGUAUUAGGACAUGUAGAAUACUAGCAACUGGCAUGCUUACAAUGUACAGUGCUCUUUUUUAAAAUCCAGACAAUUGUUUUACUGGGGCAGAAAUGUGCUUUCUUUUGGGCCCGGAAGUGAACAUAUUAUAUUUCUUACAUUUGGUGUAAAAUAAAUUUUCUUCACUGUCA